CCUACGGGUGGCUGCAGUGGGGAAUAUUGCGCAAUGGAGGCAACCCUGACGCAGCAACGCCGCGUGCUUGAAGCAGGCCUUCGGGUUUUAAAGAUCUUUUAUCGCGGACGAAUUUUGACGUUACCCUAAGAAUAAGCUCCGGCUAACUACAUGACAGCAGCCGCGGUACUACGUAGGGGGCAAGCGUUAUCCGGAUUUACUGGGUGUAAAGGGCGUGUAGGCGGGCACGCAAGCCAGAGGUGAAAUCUUGGGGUUCAACCCCCAAACUGCUUUUGGAACUGUGUGGCUUGAGUGAUGGAGAGGCAGGCGGAAUGGACAGUGUAGCGGUGAAAUGCGUAGAUAUUGGGAGGAACACCAGUGGCGAAGGCGGCCUGCUGGACA
rnacentral:rRNA from 1 species